rnacentral:lncRNA from 1 species
AUCUCCAAUGCAACAUCUCAGACUAACUACUAUAGCAUCAAAAAUUCGAACGUGGAAAUGAAACAAAUUAAAAAUCAACCUCGCAACGUCAAAGAUCAUCACAUGCAACAUUUGCGAAUACUAAUCCCAACAUCUCAAAUCAUCCAUUGCAACAUUGAAAAAAAAUGCAAUAUUCUUGGAGAGAGAUGGGGAAGACGGGAGGAAGGAGAGGGCAUGGCACCCUCGCUGGCAGAGGGCCGUGGUGAUGAGAAUGCGAGUAGCUACAUCUUUCUCCUUCUUCGUCGUUGCUCCACUGCCCCCAAGGCAGAAUCACCUCCAAUGACAGCUUCUAGCCGAUCUGCUGCUCUAGAGUUCGUCCCCGACGGCGGCGGUGGCCAACUACAGCCACAGGCGCCUCACCUCAACGCUAGGAGCUAGAGAUGUAAAGCGCCCGAGGACCUGCAGUGGCCACGGAGCCUUGCCGCGGCCUGCGCAUGAACGGGAGAGAGAGAGAGCACGUAUCUGCAUGGAUGCGAACAGGAGAGAGACACGGGGACGGAUAGCAGUUAGAGAUAAUAAGGAUAACAAGUCUAUCGAGUGAGUUUAGAUUGAGUCACGGGCUCAUGAGAAGAAUCGCAAAUCGUUGUGUGCUUACGUGCAGUGGACUCGUCUGGUGGAUGGUGGAUGAAGUCCGGCGGGGGAGUCUAGCAUGGGACGUAUGAUGCUUAGCAUUACCGAAAACAAUUCGUCCUGGACUUUGGCGAAAGCGGCCGGCGUUGGUGAAUCCCUGCUGGCUGCUGUGCCUAGAAAUUUACAAUAACAGGAAGGUACCGUGCGCACACCUGUGCGGUAGAUGACAGAUUUACUGGGUCCUCGUCGAUGAGAUGGACGUGUCA